GCGCCCCUGGCGGAAUUGGCAGACGCAGCGGACUUAAAAUCCGUGGUCAUCAGACGAUUAUGAGUUCGAGUCUCAUGGGGCGCACCA
rnacentral:tRNA from 1 species